UGAGGCAGCACAGUCUUUCAGGUGGGACGGACAGGGGAAAUCCCAGGGCAGAUAAGGGUCAAAACAAGACUACAGACAAGCAGGAGAAUAACCCAAAAGGCUGGAAUGCUGCAGAGAAACAGCAUCUUUCUGGCAGAGAACUAGUGAGCUGCAAUCUUGGAAUGAAGUGCAAGACAGGAAAGCCAGGAAGAUCCUCAACUCUGCCAUCCCAUCAACACAGAGCCAAAAACCACAGGUGGUGUUGUCUUAAAGUUGAAUAAUGGCAUCUGGACCUGAAAUCUUCUUUGAGUGGUGCAGGGUUCAAGUUCCAUAUAUACCCUCCAGAUGGUUCUCUCAUGUUUCUGCAAUUGCAUGGCUCAGUAAGGGAGACAAUGAUGAUGAACCAGAUUAUACGCCUCUCCUCUUGUAAUUGCCCAUAGCCCCAUCAUGGGGUCAUUGGGUGUGGUCAUGCUAGAGUUUUGGUUUUCUUUGGGACCAAAGAAAAGGAAUGUGUCUGAGGCCGUCCCCUUUGUUGAGGAAAGAGGUAUAUGUAUAGGUAAAAGUAAAUGUACAUGCUUUGCUUCUCUGACCCCUCUUUUAAACUGUUCGUCUUCUCUGUCAAGAAUCUGUACAUUUUCGUCUUCAAUUGAGUGUCCUUUAAGUGUGAAUAAAUGAUAAAUAAGGAUGUCCAGUUGCUGGGACAUCCUCUUGUGUAAUGGCUGUUUGGUUUCUCCAAUGUAAAGCUGUAAGCAUUCUUUACUCCUCUGGUCUUUAUGAACGUAAAUGCUUAAUUUUUGUUUGGGUGUCUUUGAGGCUUCUGCCUCUGUGUGUUGGUGACUUAAUGGAUUUGUGUUUCCAUU